UACGGGGGGGGCAAGCGUUGUUCGGAAUUACUGGGCGUAAAGGGCUCGUAGGUGGCCAACUAAGUCAGACGUGAAAUCCCUCGGCUUAACCGGGGAACUGCGUGUGAUACUGGAUGGCUUGAAUUCGGGAGAGGGAUGCGGAAUUCCAGGUGUAGCGGUGAAAUGCGUAGAUAUCUGGAGGAACACUGGUGGCGAAGGCGGCAUCCUGGACCGACAUUGACGCUGAGGCGCGAAAGCUAGGGGAGCAAACGGG
rnacentral:rRNA from 1 species